rnacentral:tRNA from 1 species
GCCUGGGUGGCUCAGUGGUUUAGCGCCUGGCUUCAGCCCAGGGUGUGAUCCUGGAGUUCCGGGAUCGAGUCCCGCAUUGGGCU